AUCCAGGGAGAAACACAACUAAGGUGGGGUGAAAGGCUUGAAAAGGUGAAAAGGAACGGGACAAGACGUAGGACAGCUUCAAGCAUGCCUGUGCCACUCAGCUCAAGAGGCUUGUUUUUGUAAGCCUGGCACAAGGAAGAUCUGGGCACAGAGGAAAAUGUGCUGACUCCUGCCUGGGGCCAUCAGAGGACAGAAACAGAUCAAUUAGCCUGGGUGGAGUGCCGCUGCCAGUGACCAGUGGCCGGCUGAGCCAGGCCAGGCCAAGGACUCUUACAUGAUCAUUGCACUGUUAAAGAGCCAGUGGCUCGGGGCAGCCUGGGUCUUUUACCUUCAGAACAGCCCCGGGAUCACACCCCUCUGCUGGCCUGGCCGCUAGCUCUGUUCCAGGCUCCGCUGAGAACCCAGUUAGACUCAGCCCCUUGGAGUUUGAACCCAUUUCAAGGACCCCCUAGGAGUCAGCACAGCCCAGUACAACCAACCCAUAGGGUAGUCCUUGGGCAUGUUUGUGGGUGGAGCAAUAGUCAUUUGGAGCAGGACAGUCCCAUGGAUCUUCAACCAGCAGAAAAACAUGCUCUAGGGAGAAAGUUUUCUGUGCCAAGAGACCUUUGGAACAAAAGCUAGGCCAAAGCUGGGACUGAGACUCCGUGUAUUUGCCCUCCAGCAGCAGAACGGUCACAGCUUGUGACAGCUACUGAAUGCCAGAACCAAGAUCUCCUGUCCUGCCACCAUGCAAGAAGUAAAGCACCUUGCCCAAGCUGAGAACCAUUCAAGCUUUUGACAGCUGGUUUAGUGCAGAAGACGAAUUGGAAAGGAGAGAAGAGAGUUGUGAAGAGGCUCCUGAUUGGUCUCCCUGUGCCGGAAGACAAGAUCUCCCUCUGUGACUGAAGCAGGCCUCAAACUCAUAAAUCUUCUUCCACCUUCCGAGUGCCAGGAUCAGCUUAUGCCACGACACCCAGCCAAAGUAGAAUUUUCCAUCAGAAGCCUCUGGAGUUGCAGGUCAGGUUCAGGAGGAAGAAUGCAAGCCACGGCCGUAGACACCUUCGUUUCUGGCCUGCUUUCGCCUUGCGCACACCGUGUGGGAUAGGAGUGAAGGAUGUUCACCCCCAAACCCGGAGUGUGUGUCUUGGCCCUGAUCUCCUGAGCUCAGUGCCCGUGGGCAGCUGUGUGUAGAAAUGUCCCUGGACCACGCAGUGUGCCACUUGGCUACACAGUAGCUUCUUGGAUUAGUGGUGUAAUCACCUUCCACAUGGCACAUGAAGUCUGAAGUUCAGACAAGUACGUCCUCACACAGCGUGCCCUGCUCUGAGGACACUCUUCCCUUCCAGUCAGUGGAAUGCCACCUGCCCCUCAGAAUCUGUGCAAAUGGAACCUCCUCAAUGUGUUCUGCUUCCCAAGUGGCAUUAAAGCCCGGCUUCCUGUAAGCCCAAUGGCGCUUUGUUUGUUCUCUAUGUCACUGUGACACUCAAUUGAGCCAGAAAAUCCCCAACAUGAAAAUAUGACACACAACGGUGUUGUCAAGGUCAGAGGGAAGCCAGAGGCUGAUCAAAGAAGGAAUUAUUGCUUCCUAUAGUCGUUUGUCAUGGUGCCUUUGAAGGGCAUUAUCACUUCAAGAUCCAAGUGGAGUCAUGUACACUGCCUCCCUUGGAACUCUAUCAAAGGAAGGAAUAGAUUGGAUGCAGCCACUCCUGGCCCACUCUUACCCCAGCACAUAGCUUAACCAAAAAUUGAGGGGCCAGAGAUUUCAGAUGCUUAAGACAUGCAGAUGGUACCGAACUAAGAAGAGCUAGCUGAUGGGCAGACGCCAAUAUGUGAUGGUGACCCAUGCCGAAACCCAGCCAUCGCCCAGGGCAAUAUGCUCACAUUUCACUACGGCUGAGUAAAGGAUAGAAAUUGGGAGAUAGAAAAUGCAUAUGGGUAGAGACCACUUCACCAACUUGAGCCUGACCUGUGGAUGACUGCAGCAGCAUCAUAACCAACCCUGGCCUUCUCCUGAUCAGUCAAGUCAUAACUUAUAGUCAUUCAAAAGGCUCCAAUUAUUAUUCUUUGUUGAGGAAGAUGUAGAAAAUAUCUCAAG